GACGAACGCUGGCGGCGUGCUUAACACAUGCAAGUCGAGCGGAAAGGCCCUUUCGGGGGUACUCGAGCGGCGAACGGGUGAGUAACACGUGAGUAAUCUGCCCUUCACUUGGGGAUAACCUCCGGAAACGGUGGCUAAUACCCGAUACGACCAUUCCUCGCAAGAGGUGGUGGGGGAAAGUUUUUCGGUGGGGGAUGUGCUCGCGGCCUAUCAGCUUGUUGGUGGGGUAAUGGCCUACCAAGGCUUCGACGGGUAGCCGGCCUGAGAGGGUGACCGGCCACACUGGGACUGAGACACGGCCCAGACUCCUACGGGAGGCAGCAGUGGGGAAUAUUGGACAAUGGGCGGAAGCCUGAUCCAGCAACGCCGCGUGAGGGAUGACGGCCUUCGGGUUGUAAACCUCUUUCACCUGUGACGAAGCGAAAGUGACGGUAGCAGAAGAAGAAGCACCGGCCAACUACGUG
rnacentral:rRNA from 1 species